GCUAUAUAGCUAGCUUACCCAUCAAAUUAAUACAACAACAUUAAAAACCCUUAUAUAACCACAACGACACGAACCAAAACAUUUUACCGCCCAAGUAUGUGAGACAGAAAAGGCAUUUCAUCAAGCUAUAAAAAAAGUACCGCAAGGGAACGCUGAAAGAGAAAUGAAAUAAAUCAUCAAAGCACAACAAAGCAGAGACUAACCCUCGUACCUUUUGCAUCAUGAUUUAGCUAAUCCCUUCGAGCAAAACGUAUUUCAGUUCGACGCCCCGAAACUAUGUGAGCUACCCCGAGACAGCCUAUCUAUUAGGGCCAACCCGUCUCUGUGGCAAAAGAGUGGGAAGAUCUCUGGGUAGGGGUGACAGACCUACCGAACCUAGUUAUAGCUGGUUGCCUAAAAAAUGAAUAGAAGUUCAGCCUCGUACUCCUUAAAUCACAAAUUAUACAACAACCCAUGAAUAUAAGAAACAUACGAGAGUUAGUCAAAGGGGGUACAGCCCCUUUGAAACAGGACACAACCUCACCAGGAGGUUAAAGAUUAUAUUAAACAAGAUAAACCGCUCUAGUGGGCCUAAAAGCAGCCACCUAAACAGAUAGCGUUAAAGCUCUGGCGGAACACAAAUCCAUUAUCCAAAUAUUAUAUCUAAAACCCCUAAUACCAUUAGGCUACUCCAUGCCAACAUGGAAGAAACACUGCUAAAAUGAGUAAUAAGAAAGAACCCCUUUCUCCUAAAGCCUACGUGUAAGUUAGAUCGGACCAACCACUAACAAUUACCGAACCCAACCAAAGAGGGAAAUAUGAUUGUAUUAAAUAUCAAGAAAUACUCACAAAACUCUAUCGUUAACCCCACACCGGAAGGCAAACAUAGGAAAGACUAAAAGAAAAGGAAGGAACUCGGCAAGCACAAGCCUCGCCUGUUUACCAAAAACAUCGCCUCCUGCAAAAAACAACGUAUAGGAGGUCUUGCCUGCCCAGUGACUAGUUAAACGGCCGCGGUAUUUUGACCGUGCGAAGGUAGCGCAAUCACUUGUCUUUUAAAUGAAGACCUGUAUGAAUGGUGGAACGAGGGCUUAACUGUCUCCCCUUUCAAGUCAAUGAAAUUGAUCUGUCCGUGCAGAAGCGGACAUACAAAUACAAGACGAGAAGACCCUUUGGAGCUUAAGAUAUAAGAUCAACUAUGUUAAGAAUUACCUAAAUCAAUUAAACUAAAUAGCAACUGAUCCCAAUCUUCGGUUGGGGCGACCACGGGAGAAAACGAAGCUCCCACGUGGAAUGGGGUUACCCCCUAAAACUAAGAGAGACAUCUCUAAGCCACAGAAUAUCUGACCAUAUAGAUCCGGCUAUCCAGCCGACCAACGGACCAAGUUACCCUAGGGAUAACAGCGCAAUCCCCUUUCAGAGUCCAUAUCGACAAGGGGGUUUACGACCUCGAUGUUGGAUCAGGACAUCCUAAUGGUGCAGCCGCUAUUAAGGGUUCGUUUGUUCAACGAU
rnacentral:rRNA from 1 species